rnacentral:rRNA from 1 species
UACAGAGGUCUCAAGCGUUGUUCGGAUUCAUUGGGCGUAAAGGGUGCGUAGGUGGCGCUGUAAGUCAGGUGUGAAAUUUCGGAGCUUAACUCCGAAACUGCAUUUGAUACUGCGGUGCUCGAGGACUGGAGAGGAGACUGGAAUUUACGGUGUAGCAGUGAAAUGCGUAGAGAUCAUGAGGAAGACCAGUGGCGAAGGCGGGUCUCUGGACAGUUCCUGACACUGAGGCACGAAGGCCAGGGGAGCAAACGGG